AUUUUUCAUUAUAGGCCAUCAGUCACACUGAAAUGAUUAUGAUUAUGAAUAGUUGAUAUCCAUGUAGGCCAUUUCUGCUGACACCCUAUCUCAACCCAACCAGUGAGAGAGAAGAGAGGUACAACAGGGCACACACAUCUACAAGAAAUGCUAUAGAGAGGACUUUUGGAGUGUGGAAGAGGAAAUUUCAUGUUUUGCAUUCUGAGGUUCGAAUGAAACCAGCAAAGGUCAGUCGAGUGAUUGUGACCUGUGCAGUCCUCCAUAACCAGGCCAUACUUUGGAAUGAACCUGAGCCACAGGAGCCUCAAAAUGAUGAUGAGCAGCCUCAGCCAGACCAAUACCAGGGACCUCAGGAUGGCCAUGGAGUCAGAAAUUAUGUGACCAACACCUUUUUGUAACAUGUUCUGGAGUUACAGUGAUUUCUGCAAUGCAUACAGCAUAUUGCAUUACAAGGGAAUAAAAUUUGAAAAUAGUUUCAUUGCUUGUUUCUUUCGCUUAUUCAAUUCAUCACUAACUCAUUGAAUAUUUUUGACAAACACAAAAAAACACAUCUGAUUACAGCAGAUUUUUUAUUAAUGUUGAGCACUAGCUUAUACAGAAACAAGUACAGAUAAAAUUUAAAUUGUCAAACAAGCAAACAAUGUAUUCAAGUCAAUAUAAAAGUCACUCUUCAUCUUUUUUUGUACACAAUGCAUCCAAGACUAAGGACAACUUCGGAAUGUUCUCUCUAAGUUCUCUGCAUAAGGCUGUCUGUUCUUGUAUGAGUUUGAACUUUUCCCUCUCAUUUUGUAUAGAGACUUUGUAGAACUCCAUUUGUAGCUCUUUAAGACUUUUCUGUGGCCUGUUACAAUAAAUGAAUAUACAUGUAUUUAUGCAGUGUUCAUGUUAAGAUUGUGUUUUCUACACUUGAAUGGCACAUAACAAUCAUGCAUGACCCUCAGAAUUGAAAUGAGUUGAAGGUUUCCUUCACUCCUUCCUUCAAAGUAAGCUGUCUAUCUCCAGAUAUGGAUGACCCCUAAUAUUUAGAGGCUGGCAGAAUCACUCAGUUUUGUGACUUUAAAAUUGAGUUACGUACAUUAUUCACUUGGUGAGAUUUCUGCUAAGAAAAUAUUUAAAGAAAACCAUACAUAAAAUUUAAUCUAGGGGACUUCUGUUUUACCUAAAUUCCACAUUCUUGGGUAUUAUUCAUGGAUUAUCAAAGUGAUUUUAGAGAACUUACAAAACAGUAAGAACUUUGGAAAAAUUAUAUAUACAAUUGCAAUCUGCAAAUAUUUGAAUGUG